ensembl:lncRNA
GCAAUGGCACCCCACUCCAGUACUCUUGCCUAGAAAAUCCCAUGGAUGGAGGAGCCUGGUGGGCUGCGGUCCAUGGGGUCGAUAAGAGUCGGACACGACUGAGCGACUUCACUUUCACUUUCCACUUUCAUGCAUUGGAGGAGGAAAUGGCAACCCACUCCAGUAUUCUUACCUGGAGAAUCCCAGGGACGGGGGAGCCUGGUGGGCUGCCGUCUACGGGGUCGCACAGAGUCGGACACGACUGAAGCGACUUAGCAGCAGCAGCAGCAGCAGGGAGUGGAUGGGAGAGACGUUCUUGGAUUUCACCAUUCUCACUACUGUUCUGACUCCCUACAAGCAAACCCUUAUAUGCGUUUUGAGUGGAAGUAUGCUGCAAAUAAGGACGGUGUGGACCAGAAAUCCGAUCGCUAAAAGAGGUAGCUACUUACAGUGAGUCUCUCCCUACGGGAAAGAAAACAUGAGCUGCUAAAAUCCGAAGUGUACCUAAAGCCUACCUGCUCCACCUGUGGCCCCCUACUCCCUACCGCAAAUACACAGACUGUCACCAGAGACUUAAGAGCUUUAAUGUAGUUGAAGGUGAAUGGAGGGGAGCUUUUCUCACCGAGAAAAGGCACUUUUUCUGCCACUGUCUGAACUGCCUACUCUCCUUCCUCCAAAGCCAUAGACCUUUUCAACUAAGCUAAUCACUCGCAGACAGUUCCCUUGAAAAUACCAACUUGAGAGCAGUUUACCCAAACUAGGUAUUGGAAAAAUACACAGCAUUUUGUACUUAGUUGGUUGGGACCUAAGUGAUAAUGUCAUUUGUUCAAUAAAUAUUUGAUUACUGUUCAAAGAUUGUUAGGUGAUGAGGACAUAAAAUCCUUGUAGAAGUUUCCAGUCUAGCAGCAGCCAGAUGGUUAAACCAAUAAUUGGCAUACAGAAAGAGUACUUUAGUAAAUAAUAUGAAUAAUCCUCUCGUUUUGCUUACUUUCAAUAUAACCCUUCCCAUGAGACCCCAAAACUGUAAGAUUGAAGGUGCCAGCCUACCAACACCCCCAGGUACCUGCUGAGCUGGACCAUGCCCAACUACUAUGUGGGUUUUGUCCCUAGGGAGGAUGUCUACCCUCUCCUGACAUUCAGGUUCUUUCCUUGCUGCUCUGCUGCCAGCAGUAGUGGAAACUCAAGCUCAAAUAUUUGGUUCUAAAUCCCAGCUGCUCCCUCCAACACUUGAGUCUUCAUCAGGCCCUGAGCUCAUUUUUUUGUUAAGUCCUCUAUACCAAAGGAGGAGAAGAGGACAACAGAGGAUGAGAUGGUUGGAUGGCAUCACUGACUCAAUAGACAUGAGUUUGAGCAAGCACCAGGAGAUGGUGCAGGACAUAGAAACCUGGCCUGCUGUAGUCCAUGGGGUCGCAAAGAGUUGGACAGGACUGAGUAACUGAACAGCAACAAAUCAAAAGUUACUAUGGACUAGUUUAUACCUUCUAGAAUUUUCAGUGGUUUCAGGGGAAGGAGAAUAGGAAAGAUUUAAAAAAGAGAGAGAGAUGGGGAAAGUCUUUGGAAGUAAUGGGUAUGUUCAUCAUCUUGGUGUGAUGGUUUUAUGGGUGUAUGUGCUGUGCUUAGUCACUCAGUUUUGUCUGACCCUUUACGACCCCAUGGAGUAUAGCCCACCAGGCUCCUCUGUCUAUGGGGAUUCUCUAGGCAAGAAUGCUGGAGUGGGUUGCCAUGCCCUCCAGGGGAUCUUCCCAACCCAGGGAUCAAACCCAGGUCUCCCAAAUUGCAGGUAGAUUCUUUACUGUCUGAGCCACC